GUACCAUUUGUGAUUUCUCAAUUAUUGAUAGAUAAAUGGUGGCACAGAAUCGAAGGCCACGACUGUUUACUAAAAACACAACACAGUGCAAUCAUUAAUGUGGUAGUAUACUGUGUGAAAUUUGCCCAAUGCCAUUAAUAUAAAAGCGGUCAUGGGAAACUGUGACUAAUUGAAAAUCUGGUUAAUAGCGGUCUUAACCAUGAGGAUCCUAAGGUAGCAAAAUAAAUUGGCCAUUAAAUGUGGUCCGGUAUCAAUAAUGUAACGAUGGCCUCACUGUCUCUACAACUUGCUCAGUGAAAUUGAAUUACGCGUGCAGAUGCGCGUUACCUCCAGUGGGACGGGAAGACCCUAU
rnacentral:rRNA from 1 species